CCUACGGGAGGCAGCAGUGAGGAAUAUUGGUCAAUGGCCGAGAGGCUGAACCAGCCAAGUCGCGUGAGGGAAGACGGCCCUAAGGGUUGUAAACCUCUUUUGUCGGGGAGCAAAGACGGGGACGCGUCUCCGCACGAGAGUACCCGAAGAAAAAGCAUCGGCUAACUCCGUGCCAGCGGCCGCGGUAAUACGGAGGAUGCGAGCGUUAUCCGGAUUUAUUGGGUUUAAAGGGUGCGCAGGCGGGAGCGCAAGUCAGCGGUAAAAUUUCGGGGCUCAACCCCGGCCGGCCGUUGAAACUGGGUUUCUAGAGUGGGAGAGAAGUACGGGGAAUGCGUGGUGUAGCGGUGAAAUGCAUAGAGAUCACGAAGAACUCCGAUUGCGAAGGCAGCGUACCGGCGCCAAACUGACGCUGAGGCACGAAAGCGUGGGUAUCGAACAGGAUUAGAUACCCCAGUAGUC
rnacentral:rRNA from 1 species